CUAAAAUGAUGUUUUGUGAUACCGCCCCAGUCUGAUAAUUGUGAAGAUUGGUUUUAUUUACUGAUGUUUA